rnacentral:rRNA from 1 species
GACGAACGCUGGCGGCGUGCCUAAUACAUGCAAGUCGAACGCAGUGGGGACGGGUGAGUAACACGUGGGUAACCUCCCAUCAGAGGGGAUAACACUUGGAAACAGGUGCUAAACCGAUACUGAUGGAUGGACCCGCGGUGCAUUAGCUAGUUGGUGAGGUACAGGCUCAACAAGGCCACGAUGCAUAGCCGAGCUGGAAGGGUGAGCGGCCACACGGGGACUGAGAAACGGCCCAGACUCCUACGGGAGGCAGCAGUAGGGAAUGUUCGACAAUGGACGAAAGUCUGACGGAGCAACGCCGCGUGAGUGAAGAAGGUUUUCGGAUCGUAAAACUCUGUGGUUAGAGAAGCGGUAACUAACCAGAAAGCCACGGCUAACUACGUGCCAGCAGCCGCGGUAAUAC